rnacentral:rRNA from 1 species
CGGGCUUUACACAUGCAAGUCGCGGGAGACGGGUGGCCUUCGGGCCGCCCCGAGACCGGCGAAUGGGUGAGUAAUGCGCAGGUAAUCUGUCUGUAGCCCGGGGAUAACUCACCGAAAGGUGAGCUAAUACCCGAUAGUCCAGCGGCCCCGCAUGGGGCCUGCUGGAAAAGGCUUCGGCCAGCUACAGAUGAGCCUGCGUGCCAUUAGGUAGUUGGUGGGGUAAGAGCCCACCAAGCCUAUGAUGGCUAGGGGGUCUGAGAGGACGACCCCCCACACUGGGACUGAGACACGACCCAGACUCCUACGGGAGGCAGCAGUGAGGAAUCUUGCGCAAUGGAGGCAACUCUGACGCAGCCACGCCGCGUGCUGGAAGACGGCCCUAUGGGUUGUAAACAGCUUUUGGUCGGGAAGAACCCGGGCCUUUCGAGGCCCGCUGACGGUACCGGCCGAACAAGCACCGGCUAACUCCGUGCCAGCAGCCGCGGUAAUACGGAGGGUGCAAGCGUUGUCCGAAAUUAUUGGGUGUAAAGGGUGUGCAGGCGGGGGUCUGCGUCGGAGGUGAAAUCUUGCCGCUUAACGGCAAAAGGGCCUUCGAUACGAGAUCUCUUGAGUUCGGAAGAGGCCGGUGGAAUUCGUGGUGUAGCGGUGAAAUGCAUAGAUAUCACGAAGAACACCAGUGGCGAAAGCGGCCGGCUAGUCCGACACUGACGCUGAGACACGAAAGCGUGAGGAGCGAACAGGAUUAGAUACCCUGGUAGUCCACGCUGUAAACGAUGCAUGCUAGUUGUUGGCCCUUCGGGGUCAGUGACGCAGUUAACGCAGUAAGCAUGCCACCUGGGGAGUACGUUCGCAAGAAUGAAACUCAAAGGAAUUGACGGGGGCCCGCACAAGCGGUGGAGCAUGUGG